AUAUAUUCACAAACAGAGAAGCAAUGUUUUCAAGUAGUCAGAGAGAAAUGGAAGGGAGCCUAUCAUGUAUAUAAACAUACACAUUUCCCAGCCCAUGAUUCCUUUCACCAGCUUACUCUACUACUUACAGCUAGGUAGGAAAAUGAACAAGCCCAUGAUCUAGAUUGUGUGUGUUCUCAGCAUCAGUCUCUUUUGUCUGUGGGGAUGAGUGGGUGAGGAGAAAUCUGUGAGGAGAGUUCAGGCACAUUCCUAGGCUUUGACACUGUGUUCAAUGAGCCCUGGAAAAUGAUUUAGUGGGAAGGCACCAACUGAAACAAGUCUCUUGCCCUACAAUGACCAUCCAAAAGAGAAAAUAAUCAAACUAGAACACUUUCUUUUGUUUCUUGGUACUCUAAUAGCUAGCUGUUUGUAUUAAAUGUGAUGGCUACUUCCUAGGAACUGGUCUUUGUUCAGUUUUGGUUUUUGUCUUGUUUUGCAGCUGACCUUUUGCUUAGAAUCAUCACCUCAGCCUGUAUUGUGAUCCCCAAGACUCCAGACCUCAAACUCAUCUUGCUUGGUUUUAGGAAUGGAGUGCUUUCUAUGUAACCAAAAAGUGGAAAUUAAAGAAGAAAUAAAGAAAAUGUUCUAUGAGUAUAAUGUGUUUUUAUAAAAGUAAAUAUGGGAGCAGUUGUCCCAGAUUUUUUUAAAGUAUCAUGAUGUUCAGCUUUGGAGAAUGGGGUAAGACUGGGGUAGGAUAGCUUGAAACUGUUUCUAACAGUUUCAUUGUCAGAACUUGAUCAUCAGUCCUUUGGAGUGGAUACUCUUUCAGUUGCUCCUAUGGAGCCCACUAGGGGCCAAUUUUAGGGCAUGGUUCAUAUCUUUCUCCAAAGAGAACUGCCAUUUUAAAGCACCUUUUUAUCGGCCUGCCAUGCAUUGUAUGUUCUUAACAUAUAAACUAGUGACUUGUAACCAGUCAUUUUGUAUUGAAACAUAACAAGAAAGUGAAUUUGAGGAGUGUGCAAUAGACCAAGGCAGAGAUGUUAUUGUACACUAUGCUCUACAUUGUUGAGCACUUUGCAUUCUGUUGGUCCUGCCUCUGCUCUCAGAAUUAUUUUCCUUUCUGUCACAACAUAGUAGGCCAAACUUACUGGAGAUCUCUUAUUCAACCAGCUGCCUUAGUGGAGUGAGGACCAAUGUAUGAAAAUAGUGUUUUGCCCUAUCACUGAUUUCUUCAACUCAAAAACCCUGGAUUUUCCUUGAUCUGAAAUUUCUGACUACCCCCUUCUAACCUCUCCUUUCUGAGAAGCUGCAUCCUAUUAAUGCCUCCUCAUUGGAGUCUCAUUUAAUCUUUACUUUCCUGGAAAUUAUAUCCUCCCUUGUUCUUCUUUCUUGACUUUUAUCAGUCUUAGAAUUUUUCUUCUUGUGUAGUAUUCUAUUCAAUAUCCCAAACUGUCAAAGUUUAAGAACUACAGCUAGAGGCUUUCUUUUGGAAGUUUAGAGGACUACCUUCCCUGUCUUAUUCACUCAAAAUACAAAUGCACGAGCACAUGCACACAUAGCAUUGAGAAAAGACUGAAACUGCUUUCUCUUGAAGGUGUGUGAUAACAGGUCCAAUCUCUUAUUGUGGUCAGGUGCUGUACUACAUGGAGCAGAGUGCAGAUACAAUGGCCCCAGCCAAGGGUCUUCAAGACAUUGAGGGUUGUGUUGGGACUAGAGUAAAUAGCUUGAACCUGUGGCCAUCCUCUAUGCCUCUCCAGUGUCUCAGAUCUCAGCUGCUUCACAUAUGCUGCUCCCUCACAGCUUUCCCUACUGACUUCUUGCUGCUCUGUGCAAUUAUAUGUUAAGGCCUUAUCUUUUCCUAUAUCUUUUCAAACUUUCUGCACUACUUCAUUCAUCACUUCUUUAGCCAUCUCUCUGAAGUCCUUGGUGCUAGGUGGGCUUUUGUGACAAAAAUUUUCACCUUCUCUGACUCUUUUCUUUGCUGGGAAGAAUCGUUGGGGGGUAGGGAACACAAAGGAGGGUAUGUGUGUGUGUAAGAGAGAAGCAUAAAGGAUGCUUCAAAUGCUGUAAUCAACUCCCAUCCUGUGUUAUUUCACGUGAGGUCUUGCAGUUCUAGUGAAUUUCCAUUUUAGUGGCUUUGAAAUAGUGUUUACUGCGUAAAGGAGAAAAGCAUAUCCAAGGACCUCUUUGCCUUGCUCUUACCAAACUGAACUAGUGUUUUGGAGAUCUACAAUUUAUAGAUGCACUCAGAACAGUUCUGAGAAAUGAGGAGAGUUAGAGUUGAGUUUCUAUGCUGAAGAGGUAAAUGGAACACUAGCUAGUCCUAGCUGUUGCUAGAACUAGAAAUGUUUGUUUUCUCCUGUUUGACUGAAAGGUUGUCAAAUUAUUCAUUUUCAUUUAGGGCUUUUAAUGCUGCCAGUCAUAACAGAAAUAUCUCCUUUUGUAAAAUAAAACUAAUGCAAGUUUUGUUUUUUAAUCAUAAAAUUCUCUAAGCCAAUAUUAUGUUUAGAAGGCUUAGUACCAAAAUCAAACAUUUUCAUGACAAACAGAGAUCUUGUCAACAUAAUGUAGGCCAGGGAUUUUAUAGAGAUUUCUCAAAGACCCGAGUUAAGGACAGAAAUUAGUUGAGAUGUUUAGUUUGGGAAACACUACUACCAUCAGCUUAAGAGUCCUCAGCCAGCAUGGAGUUAUUUUGGUGACUAUGCAGGCUACCCUUUAAGACACAGUUUUCACUCAACAUUAAACAGUAGCUACAGUCAUGAUGCAGAGAUCCCAUUGCAGCUAUAUGAUACUUGAGGUGUACUCUUGGUUUGAGAAUCAUAGCUAAAUGCUAAAACACUGGGGAAAGACACUAUAAGAGAGUGGCUUAGUGGAAAGUUUUAAGGAAUGAAUGAGGCUUUUAAAAAUCAGUGUUUGGGUAAAUCAAUACUAAAUACACUAAAGAAACACUCACCCAUACAAUAUGAAAAGGAUGUCUGUGUAUCCAACAAGCUCAGGGUUCUCUGGGCCCACUGAAAAUGAAGAAAGGUAACCAGGCAUGGAGGCUCAUGCCUGGAACCCUAGGCAGGAUUGUUGGGAGUUCCAGACCAGUCUGGUCUAUAGUGUGAGACCCAGUCUGAAAAAUAAAAAUAUAAAAGAAAGAAGGAGGAUGAGG
rnacentral:lncRNA from 1 species